UUAAAACAGCUAAGCAAGAAACAGGUG
rnacentral:piRNA from 2 species